GAUGAACGCUGGCGGCGUGCUUAACACAUGCAAGUCGAACGGACCCGCAAGGGUUAGUGGCGCACGGGUGAGGAACACGUAGCUUACCUGCCCCAAAGUCUGGGAUAACUCCUCGAAAGAGGUGCUAAUACCGGAUAAGCUCACGGUGACUAGAAAUCCGUGAGAAAAGGUUACGCUUUGGGAGGGGGCUGCGGCCCAUCAGAUAGUAGGUGAGGUAACGGCUCACCUAGUCUACGACGGGUAGGGGACCUGAGAGGGUGACCCCCCACACUGGGACUGAGACACGGCCCAGACUCCUACGGGAGGCAGCAGUGAGGAAUAUUGCACAAUGGGCGAAAGCCUGAUGCAGCGACGCCGCGUGGACGAUGAAGGUUUUCGGAUCGUAAAGUCCUUUUCUGUGUGACGAGCAAGGACGGUAG
rnacentral:rRNA from 1 species